rnacentral:rRNA from 1 species
GUGCUUGCACUCUGUGAAACAAGAUACAGGCUAGCGGCGGACGGGUGAGUAACACGUGGGUAACCUGCCCAAGAGAUCGGGAUAACACCUGGAAACAGAUGCUAAUACCGGAUAACAACAGAUGAUGCCUAUCAACUGUUUAAAAGAUGGUUCUGCUAUCACUCUUGGAUGGACCUGCGGUGCAUUAGCUAGUUGGUAGGGUAACGGCCUACCAAGGCGAUGAUGCAUAGCCGAGUUGAGAGACUGAUCGGCCACAUUGGGACUGAGACACGGCCCAAACUCCUACUGGAGGCAGCAGUAGGGAAUCUUCCACAAUGGACGCAAGUCUGAUGGAGCAACGCCGCGUGAGUGAAGAAGGGCUUCGGCUCGUAAAGCUCUGUUGUUGGUGAAGAAGGACAGGGGUAGUAACUGACCUUUGUUUGACGGUAAUCAAUUAGAAAGUCACGGCUAACUACGUGCCAGCAGCCGCGGUAAUACGUAGGUGGCAAGCGUUGUCCGGAUUUAUUGGGCGUAAAGCGAGUGCAGGCGGCUCGAUAAGUCUGAUGUGAAAGCCUUCGGCUCAACCGGAGAAUUGCAUCAGAAACUGUCGAGCUUGAGUACAGAAGAGGAGAGUGGAACUCCAUGUGUAGCGGUGAAAUGCGUAGAUAUAUGGAAGAACACCGGUGGCGAAGGCGGCUCUCUGGUCUGUUACUGACGCUGAGGCUCGAAAGCAUGGGUAGCGAACAGGAUUAGAUACCCUGGUA